GAUGAACGCUGGCGGCGUGCCUAAUACAUGCAAGUCGAGCGAACGGACGAGAAGCUUGCUUCUCUGAUGUUAGCGGCGGACGGGUGAGUAACACGUGGAUAACCUACCUAUAAGACUGGGAUAACUUCGGGAAACCGGAGCUAAUACCGGAUAAUAUUUUGAACCGCAUGGUUCAAAAGUGAAAGACGGUCUUGCUGUCACUUAUAGAUGGAUCCGCGCUGCAUUAGCUAGUUGGUAAGGUAACGGCUUACCAAGGCAACGAUGCAUAGCCGACCUGAGAGGGUGAUCGGCCACACUGGAACUGAGACACGGUCCAGACUCCUACGGGAGGCAGCAGUAGGGAAUCUUCCGCAAUGGGCGAAAGCCUGACGGAGCAACGCCGCGUGAGUGAUGAAGGUCUUCGGAUCGUAAAACUCUGUUAUUAGGGAAGAACAUAUGUGUAAGUAACUGUGCACAUCUUGACAGUACCUAAUCAGAAAGCCACGGCUAACUACGUGCCAGCAGCCGCGGUAAUACGUAGGUGGCAAGCGUUAUCCGGAAUUAUUGGGCGUAAAGCGCGCGUAGCGGUUUUUUAAGUCUGAUGUGAAAGCCCACGGCUCAACCGUGGAGGGUCAUUGGAAACUGGAAAACUUGAGUGCAGAAGAGGAAAGUGGAAUUCCAUGUGUAGCGGUGAAAUGCGCAGAGAUAUGGAGGAACACCAGUGGCGAAGGCGACUUUCUGGUCUGUAACUGGCGCUGAUGUGCGAAAGCGUGGGGAUCAAACAGGAUUAGAUACCCUGGUAGUCCACGCCGUAAACGAUGAGUGCUAAGUGUUAGGGGGUUUCCGCCCCUUAGUGCUGCAGCUAACGCAUUAAGCACUCCGCCUGGGGAGUACGACCGCAAGGUUGAAACUCAAAGGAAUUGACGGGGACCCGCACAAGCGGUGGAGCAUGUGGUUUAAUUCGAAGCAACGCGAAGAACCUUACCAAAUCUUGACAUCCUUUGACAACUCUAGAGAUAGAGCCUUCCCCUUCGGGGGACAAAGUGACAGGUGGUGCAUGGUUGUCGUCAGCUCGUGUCGUGAGAUGUUGGGUUAAGUCCCGCAACGAGCGCAACCCUUAAGCUUAGUUGCCAUCAUUAAGUUGGGCACUCUAAGUUGACUGCCGGUGACAAACCGGAGGAAGGUGGGGAUGACGUCAAAUCAUCAUGCCCCUUAUGAUUUGGGCUACACACGUGCUACAAUGGACAAUACAAAGGGCAGCGAAACCGCGAGGUCAAGCAAAUCCCAUAAAGUUGUUCUCAGUUCGGAUUGUAGUCUGCAACUCGACUACAUGAAGCUGGAAUCGCUAGUAAUCGUAGAUCAGCAUGCUACGGUGAAUACGUUCCCGGGUCU
rnacentral:rRNA from 1 species